UGGGCGCAGCCUGAUCAGCCAUGCCGCGUGGAUGAUGAAGGCCCUAGGGUUGUAAAAUCCUUUCGUCGGGGACGAUAAUGACGGUACCCGAAGAAGAAGCUCCGGCUAACUUCGUGCCAGCAGCCGCGGUAAUUACGAAGGGGGCGAGCGUUGUUCGGAUUUACUGGGCGUAAAGCGCGUGUAGGCGGGUCGUUAAGUUGGGG
rnacentral:rRNA from 1 species